rnacentral:rRNA from 1 species
GACGAACGCUGGCGGCGUGCUUAACACAUGCAAGUCGAACGGAAAGGCCCUGCUUUUGUGGGGUGCUCGAGUGGCGAACGGGUGAGUAACACGUGAGUAACCUGUCCUUGACUUUGGGAUAACUUCAGGAAACUGGGGCUAAUACCGGAUAGGAGCUCCUGCUGCAUGGGGGGGGUUGGAAAGUUUCGGCGGUUGGGGAUGGUCUCGCGGGUUAUCAGCUUGUUGGUGGGGUAGGGGCUUACCCAGGCUUAGACGGGUAGGCGGCCUGGGUGGGGAGACGGGCACAAGACGCCUAAGGGAGGCACCAGACUGGAAUGUGAGGCAGCAGGCGGAAGCCUUACCCAGUAAUGCCGCGUCUGAGGAGACGGCGCCCGGUGCGUAAUGACCUCUUGCGGGGUAUGAACCGCUUUCGCUUGAUACGCGGCGUGAGUGACGGUACUGGAUAAAGAAGCACCGGCUAACUACGUG